UGGUUGUAGUGAGGGCCGGGGCGGGGCGGGGGGGGGGGGCUCCAGGCCCCGCAGCCCAGAGGCUUGGCAGCCCAUCUCCUGCGGAUGCCAGGCCUUGUGAUUCAUCCCCCACCGGAUGCCGCUGGCUCCAGAGAGAGACGUCGGCUGAACGUGCCAGUGCUCAGAGGAGACGACAGGCCGCCUAAAUAAUCCUCAAGAACCUUCAAGUGCAGGCUACUCAUCUUGGGACGGAUUCAGGCUCUGCUUAGUGUAGGUGGCGGUGGCUCCGGAAAAAUAUAGGGAAGGGAGCAUGAUGCUCCCACGCUGAGACUAAUGUGUCUCUAUCAUGGUCUCUCUGUCUCUGUCUCUCCUGGUCUCUGUCUCUGUCUCUGCCUCCCCAUGUCUCUGUCUCCCUGCUUCUGUCUCUAUAUCUCUCUGUCUCUGUCUCUUUCUGUCUCUGCCUCUGUCUCUCCAUAUCUCUGUCUCUCUCUGUAUCUCUGUCUCUGUCUCUCUCUCUCUGUCUCCAUUUCUCUGUCUCUGUGUCUCCUGGUCUCUCCUUGUGUCUGUCUCUGUCUCUCCUGGUCUCUGUCUCUCUCUGUCUCCCUGCUUCUGUCUCUCUGUAUCUCUCUCUGUCUCUUAUCUGCCUCUGUCUCUCCAUAUCUCUGUCUCUCUCUGUAUCUCUGUCUCUCUGUCUCCAUUUCUCUGUCUCUGUGUCUCCUGGUCUCUCUCUCUCCUUGUGGCUGUCUCUGUCUCUUCUGGUGUCUGUCUCUCUGUCUCUGUCUCUGCCUCUGUCUCUCUGUAUCUCUAUCUCUGUCUCUGUCUCUCUGUCUCUGUGUCUCCUGGUCACUGUCUCUCCUUGCAUCUAUCUCUGUCUCUCCUGGUCUCUGUCUCUCUCUCUUUGUAUCUCUCUCUGUUUCUCUCUCUCUCUCUCUCUCUCUGUCUCUGUCUCUCUACCUCUGUCUCUCCGUGUCUCUUUCUUUGUCUUUCUCUGUCUCUGUCUCUCUCUCUCCAUCUCUGUGUCUUUUUGUCUGUCUCUCUCUCCAUCUCUCCAUCUCUGUCUCUGUCUCUCCGUCUCUGUCUCCCUGCCAUUAAUGACGACACUGUGGGUCCUGCGGGCACGCCUGCCGUCCCUGAGACACGGGGAAGGACAGCACGGAUGUCGCCGUUUGGACCUUUGUGUCCAAACUCAGGAGCGAUGCGAAGCCCACGCGGCGGGAGGUUACCGGGGUCCGGCCUUGCGGUUCGUGGCCGCCAGGUCCUGCCUGCGCGUCCCGUGUCCGGUGUGUCCCUACUGAGGCCGCGAAGGCCCCAUCCAGCCCCGUGUCCUGGUCACCUGCCCGCGCGCGUGCAAGGCUGCAGCAGCCCCAGGGUCACGGGACGGGGGGUCCCACCCUCACACACGCAGCAGUGCCACUGGUACAGCCUGUGGCUCGGGAGGCGGCGGGGGCCUGACACCCACGGGACCCUCUUUCCACCGGAAAUUUUACUGUCUCGUCUAUUGGGUUCACGGCUUCCUGUUUCUCCUCCCGUUUGGUCGACGACGGACAGUGAAGGGCUCGCGUGCACACGCACGAGGAGCCGAGGGGCCACGCGGAAGAUGAGAGACGUUAGUGCAGGUC
ensembl:lncRNA